UGCCCAGCAACUCCUAUCCCUACCUACUCGCGGUACUGGCCGGGGUGCGAGUAAUCUUAGGGAAGAUCGGGUAACCAACCCCCAGUGGGAUCUUUGGUCGUAUGCUGACAGGGAAGG
rfam:Aedes aegypti strain Liverpool supercont1.679 genomic scaffold, whole genome shotgun sequence.